rnacentral:rRNA from 1 species
CCUACGGGAGGCAGCAGUGGGGAAUAUUGGACAAUGGGGGCAACCCUGAUCCAGCCAUGCCGCGUGUGUGAAGAAGGCCCUCGGGUUGUAAAGCACUUUCAGUGAGGAAGAACGCCUGGUGGUUAAUACCCAUCAGGAAAGACAUCACUCACAGAAGAAGCACCGGCUAACUCCGUGCCAGCAGCCGCGGUAAUACGGAGGGUGCGAGCGUUAAUCGGAAUUACUGGGCGUAAAGCGCGCGUAGGUGGCUUGAUAAGCCGGUUGUGAAAGCCCCGGGCUCAACCUGGGAACGGCAUCCGGAACUGUCCAGCUAGAGUGCAGGAGAGGAAGGUAGAAUUCCCGGUGUAGCGGUUAAAUGCGUAGAGAUCGGGAGGAAUACCAGUGGCGAAGGCGGCCUUCUGGACUGACACUGACACUGAGGUGCGAAAGCGUGGGUAGCAAACAGGAUUAGAUACCCCUGUAGUC